GAGUCUAUGAUGCACCAAUCAAUGGCCCAUUUCUGAAGAAAUAUUACCCUAUAUAUAAGCUGAGAAAUUUUGCUUUUGAAUUUGAUUAAAGUCAAAUGGACUCAUUAAAGUUAUAGUAUCUGUAUAUUUGGUCAGACUUGAGUGAUUUGCGUGUUUAUAAUCGAAAAAAGCCCUAAUUUCUCUCUUGGCAUUAGUGAAUCCCUUCUUCCUUUAGAAGAGUCACCCG
rnacentral:lncRNA from 1 species